ensembl:lncRNA
GGGUGAGAAGGGACAUUCACAGCAGGCUUUAUAGGUCCUGAGGCCAAGAACCUUGCCUCAGGGCUACCUGGCAUGAUGACUCCUUGCUGUCCCCAGUCCACCUAGCUGUGCUGCUGCUCCAGUUUCAACUGUUCUGCCUGCAGCUAUGGAACACUGUCCCGUUCACUGGACGUGCUACCUGUCCCAGACCUGCUGUUUUCAACUCUCUAGAGACAGCAGGAGCGGUAGAGAUACUCGCAAUGAUCGGCUUUGAAAAGCUAACUGACUCCUGAGGUGCUGACCUGUUGCACCCUCGACAACUACUGUGAUUAUUAUUAUUUGACAAUGCUGGUCAUUUAUGAACAUUUGAACAUCUUGGCCAUGUUCUGUUAUAAUCUCCACCCGGCACAGUCAGAAGAGGACUGGCCACCCCACAUAGCCUCAUUCCUCUCUAGGUUUCUUCCUAGAUUUUUUGCCUUUCUAGGGAGUUUUUCCUAGCCACCGUGCUUCUACACCUGCAUUGCUUUCUGUUUGGGGUUUUAGGCUGGGUUUCUGUACAGCACUUUGAGAUAUCAGCUGAUGUACGAAGGGCUACA